AACGAACGCUGCGGCGCGUCUUAAGCAUGCAAGUCGACCGGUAAGGAGAGCUUGCUCUCCCCCUAGAGUGGCGGACUGGUGAGUAACGCGUGGUUGACCUUGCCCCUGAAGAUGGGGAUAGCUAGUAGAAAUAUUAGAUAAUACCGAAUAAGCUCAUUUACAUAAAGGUAGAUGAGGAAAGGAGCUACGGCUCCGCUUUAGGAUGGGCCCGCGUCCCAUUAGCUGGUUGGUGAGGUAAAGGCUCACCAAGGCAACGAUGGGUAUCCGGCCUGAGAGGGUGAACGGACACAUUGGGACUGAGAUACGGCCCAAACUCCUACGGGAGGCAGCAGCUAAGAAUCUUCCGCAAUGGACGAAAGUCUGACGGAGCGACGCCGUGUGAAUGAAGAAGGCCGAAAGGUUGUAAAAUUCUUUUGCAGAUGAAGAAUAAGAAGAAGAGGGAAUGCUUCUUUGAUGACGGUAGUCAUGCGAAUAAGCCC
rnacentral:rRNA from 1 species